rnacentral:lncRNA from 1 species
GGCUUUUUGACGGGUGGUAUUUACAAGCUUCCUAUAGUCACCACAUCAGAUUUUAAUAUUCCUGAAGUUUGAUGUGAUGAUACAUAUGCACAGAUUUGUUUAUAUGGUUGAUUAACAUCUCUUGGAUUCAUAUAACAAUUAAUUGAGCUGAAAUCUUGCUUACUGAACCUAGGUUGUCAAGAAGCAUACUUUAGUUCUUGAAUAUUUCAGGUUUUUUCAGUUGCAGAUG